CUGGCCAGUGGAGUACCCCUUUAAAUUGAAGCUUGCAUGACUAUCAAUCAGUAAAUGUGUCCCCGUCUACCAUCCUAAUUCCAGGACCUGAUAGGAUUUCGGCUGGGCCUGGUCCAGUCAGAGAAACUAAAGAGGCUACAAUUGUCUACACCCCGGAGUUGGGAGCUUACCACUUCUAUCUUUUAUUUCCAUCCUUUCUAUCCCUUAGUUAAACUUGAUGGUAUUUGUGUCAACCAUUUUAGGAUUUUUUUUUUCUUUUUUUAUUCUUUGAUGAAACUUUCUGACAAAAAUUGGCCCAGUGACAUAUUGUUGGGUGAUAUAAAGUUUCAAUGGUAGUAAUGGAUGUUGCUCUAUUAUUGGUUUAUUUAUAGGACGUGAUUUUCUUGUGAUUUUCUCAUGUUAAAAAAAAAUUCAUAUCGGAAAUGUUUUUUCCCAGAACAUGGAAUAUUUCAUGUUCCUGUUUCCUAUCGUAAUCGAUGCGACCAGAUGUCACUACCUCGAAGUGCUAUAUACAUUCCUAGAAUAAGGCAACCCAAGCUGUAAGGAAACUACUCCAAGAAGCUGAUAUAGAGCUCGACCAGGACGUCUUAACCAAAGCCAUGGCUUAAUAAUCAACACUGUGGAAUUCCGCCCAGAGUGCAUUGCUGGGGGCAAAAGGGACGGCAAUGGGGACGGCACUAGUCCGCACAGUCAUACAGUAGCACCAGCUGCACACGGAAUCUCCGCCCAGGAUUUAUACGGUGGAGAUUUCGUCAUGUGCAUUGGCCAUUACAGCCCAUCCCUAAAUCUUAU